GUGAGGACAAUGUGACUUCUGCUGACCACAGGCUGGGCCCGGGGCCACACAGGUCUGAAGAAGCCCGCACCGCAGUGGGGACAGAGGCCAACCCACUUUGGAGCUUCCUGUCAUCCCAAAGCUUUAAUCAGAAUGAAACUCACAGACAAGGUGGGGAAGACGCAGCCCCCAGGGGCAAGAAGAGGUGGCUCCGGGCUGUCUGAUGAAUCAACACAGCACCCUAAGUUCUAAUGCACACCAGAGUGGGGGCUCCAGGGGCGUGUGCGAAGCCUCACUGCCCAGAGACGAGAACAGAAGGCACAGAGCCCCACCGACACCUUGCAGUGGCCUUGGCCGUGGGCCCUCCAGCCCGUUCUGUCCGUCCUCCCACUCACCCCAAAUUUGGCAGGAGACGUGAAUGCCAGUGCCAGCGCA